rnacentral:lncRNA from 1 species
CUUGUUGCAUGUGGAUGGCGCCAUACCAUUACUGUUUCUGACUCUGGUACAAUGUACACUUACGGUUGGAGCAAAUAUGGUCAAUUGGGACAUGGUGAUUUUGAAGAUCAUUUAGUUCCACAUAAACUUGAAGCUUUGAAAGAUAGCACUAUAUCCCAGGUAAGCUACAUUCCCAGACAUGAUUUCAUGAAGGAUUAAUACAAUCACACAUUUAGUUUUCACUUUUGUGGGCUUUGGAAAGACACUGCUAUGCACAGGCAGACAGUGUCAGAGACAUAACUUAUGCUGAAAACUUGAAGAAUGCAAUUUUUACAUGUUGUCUGUACUCUGUAGUAUAAACGUUCUUUUAUUUUAUAUACAAAAUAAUUAGGAAGUCUCCCCCAAAAAACUUAAUUCCCUGUCUGACUAAAUUAGCAUGUUGUCAAGUCUUCUUGAAAUCUUAAUUAUUAUCUGAGCUUUGGAAGAAAAGUUUAUAAUACACGUGUUCUGCUGAUUUAGAUUUCAGGUGGUUGGAGGCAUACGAUGGCACUUACAUCAGAGGGAAAGCUUUAUGGGUGGGGGUGGAACAAGGUCAUUCUCUUAGUGCCUCUACUUCCUUUUGUGCCCCAUAAUUGCUUUUUCAUUCAAAUUGCACAAGCAAGAUUCUAUUAUACUUUUAUCGAUGAAGUUUCCAUGAUGAUUGAAAACUUCUGCUACACAGUUGAAAACAAGUUGAACCUUCCCUCGGUCAACUUGACAAACUUAGUUCAGAAUUUGAACAUUGUUCUUGUUACAAGGAAUAUGAUUGAAGAUAGAUCGCUUGGAAAAUCUCCAUUGUUCUCCACUAUAGGGAACAUAGUCUAUAUAUUGUCACAACUUUAAGCUAUAUCCAAUCUCUUGAUAAAACUCCCUAGCAUAGGUGUUAAACCCUUUGGUUAUCCCUCUUAUCAUUUGAGUUGUCUGUUAAAUUCCUUGGCAGCCAUUGACCAGUGGUAGAUUGUCUUUCACCACUUUACUCCAAUUUAUUGUUGUUUAAUGGUAAUGGGGAAUGCAAAUUGGAUAUCCCUACAAAGUUGGUCAUUUAUCUCAUAUCGAGCUCGGUUAUACCUGGUAUCAAGAACAUUCAAUUAUACAUUUAUACCUAUGAAGCUCUUAUCAUUAUCAGUCAGCAAAUGUGUGCCAAUCCUUACAACUCAAAUAACUUAAUGUAAAAUGGUUAGUUUAAAGUUCUGAACUUAGCCUGUCCUGUUUUACUACUCUAGUCACAGGUUGUGCUCAGGUCUAUUUCGGUACUGAGCUUUGCUUGAGUGCCAGCUCAAUUGUAUUUUAUUUUCACUUCUCCAUGUGAUUUUUUUCUAUCAUUUUUUACACUGAUUGUGUUUCAUAUUUUGAGCCUGCAGUUUGGACAAGUUGGAGUUGGCAACAACGAUGAUCAUUGUUCACCAGUACAGGUUCAUUUUCCAGAGGAACAGGUAUGGCAUGUUUGUGGGAGGGUUUUAUGCCGAACUUGUGCUCAACUAAAUGAUCUGCGUAGUACAUGCAUCACAAAAAGUCUCAGACACAACACUAAUGGUCGUUCAUUGAUUCAUGUGAAUGGAGAUUGCCAACUUCUGCUUAUUACUGCUGUUUCUGCAGAAAAUUUCCCAAGUUGCUUGUGGAUGGAGACACACACUCGCCCUUUCCGAAAAGAAAAACGUUUUCUCCUGGGGAAGGGGUACUAGUGGACAGCUCGGCAAUGGAGAAAUAGUUGACAGGUGGUUCCCAUCUAGUUCACUUGCUCAAUAUCUUUUUCUUUUUUCCGGAAGAAACUCGAUAUCUUAUAUUUGCUAUCUAUAUGUGCUCUUCCGUGCUAACAAUUUAUCGACCUGUGCCAUCCUGAAGGAAUACACCUGUGCUGAUUGACGCCUUAAGCCCAGACGGUUCUGGCUGCAAGAAGUUAGAGUCAUCCGCAGCAGCUCCAUUUGCAGGUUUGUAUCACAUCGUGCUCUAGUAGCUGCAGAUGCUUUUACGGACAUGCCAUUGACGUGUAUGCGCUAUGUUUUCCAGCCAAGGUCUGGGUCUCUCCGUCAGAGAGAUACGCCAUAGUUCCUGAUGAGAAUGUAAGUUCAGUUCCCACCUGUUUAAUUCCAAACAAAUUACUCGCUGAUGUUGCUGAACUGAAGUUCCUCUAUGUGCUCAUGUGCAGGUUCCCAAAUCAGGCGAAGGCACCGCGCGCGGCAACGGGGCGGACGCGAACGUGCCGGAGAACGAUGUAAAGAGAAUGCGCGUGCAGUCGUAGUCCUACCACCAUCUCCCCCUCCCUUAACCCUAGUACACUAUAAAGAAAGAACCGGUUGCCUUAGUCCCUGCUGUUUC